GAUGAACGCUGGCGGCGUGCCUAAUACAUGCAAGUCGAGCGAACGGACGAGAAGCUUGCUUUUCUGAUGUUAGCGGCGGACGGGUGAGUAACACGUGGAUAACCUACCUAUAAGACUGGGAUAACUUCGGGAAACCGGAGCUAAUACCGGAUAAUAUUUUGAACCGCAUGGUUCAAAAGUGAAGGACGGUCUUGCUGUCACUUAUAGAUGGAUCCGCGCUGCAUUAGCUAGUUGGUAAGGUAACGGCUUACCAAGGCAACGAUGCAUAGCCGACCUGAGAGGGUGAUCGGCCACACUGGAACUGAGACACGGUCCAGACUCCUACGGGAGGCAGCAGUAGGGAAUCUUCCGCAAAGGGCGAAAGCCUGACGGAGCAACGCCGCGUGAGUGAUGAAGGUCUUCGGAUCGUAAAACUCUGUUAUUAGGGAAGAACAUAUGUGUAAGUAACUGUGCACAUCUUGACGGUACCUAAUCAGAAAGCCACGGCUAACUACGUG
rnacentral:rRNA from 1 species